AUAUAAGCGCUUGAAAACAUACAGAUAUCAAGGACGAUCAAUGUCGCGUAAAAAGAUAAAGUGUGGAAAACAGUAUAAACAAAAAAAAAAAUGGAUGUACGUGCUUUAGCAUAUUGAAAACCAUGUCAAGAAAAGAUCGAAAAAGAGUUAAUCCCAUUGAAGAGUGAAGGAAUGGAGUGAAAAGAAUAUUGAUCCACCAGGAUUUAAUAGAAGUUUAUUUGAGAACAAAGGCAGAGGAGUCAGAACAACUGUCCACAGAAAUGCAGGCGACUUUUUGUUAGUGUAUACAGGAAAGGUUAUAACAACGAAGGAAGGUGAGAACUUGGAAGAAGGGUUCUCAUCUGGCUACAGAUUUUGUUUACAGAGAUUUGUGUGUUGAUGCAUCAGAAGAAGAUGGUAGAUUGGGAAGGCUUGUGAACCAUGGGAGCAAGAAAGAGAUCAACUGCAAAAUGAAAUUAAUAGGGGAAGUGCUAUGUCUUUUUGGAACCAGAGAUAUACAUGAGGGAGAAGAGCUAUUAUAUGACUAUGGACUCAAGUCUUAUCCAUGGAAUUCUAAGACAAACCAUCUGCCCCUAAGGGACCAUUCAGUGUGUCCAAUCUCACUGCUUCAUCUGCUGACUUGAAUGGAAGCCAACAACAAAAGAUAACGGUUCUCCAGUCACAGGCCAUGUUUUUGAGUCCAGACCUAGCACCAGAGCAAGAUGGAGCAAAGUGGCCAAGAUGGAUGACAACACCACCAAAUACUCUCCCAAAGACCUCAUUGACUAUCUGUUCAGGGUGUCUGCUGUUAAUGAGGAGGGACAAGUCUCACCACUAGAGACCAAAGAACCUGUGAGACUUAAGAGGAAGAUAGAUGUUCUAUCUUCAAGUCAAAGUCAAAGUGUCUAAACUUGGUCCCAAUUUUGUGACACUGGAUUGGAAAUCACUGUCUUCAGAUGGAGGCUCCAAGGUGACAGGGUAUGUGGUGAAGCAGAAGAGAGGCUCUGAUGGUGACUGGGAGGAGGUGGCCACUCUAAAGGCCAUUGAGACGUCUUACAAGGUCCCCAAACUUGAUGAAGACCAAGAGUAUUUCUUUUCUAUAACUGCCCUGAACCAGAACGGACAAGGAGAAACCUGUGAACUGGACACGUCUGUUGUUCCAAAGAGACCUCCAGAAAAACCAUCGCCACCAGUUGGUCCAGUCAUACUCUCAGGCAUUCAGAAAACCUCUUUGGUGUUAGCCCGGAAACCCAGCAAGAAUGAUGGCACAUCUCCUCUAACAGCUUACUAUAUUGAAAUGAGGGACCCUAAUAAUGGAUCCUGGUCUGCAGUCACCAAAGUGACCCCAGACAUCACCAGCUACUGUUUCUUAUGAUUUUGUUUUAAGAUUGUCUAGAAAUGGUGUUUGGAACUGGAGAUAAAGAAGAUCCCCCAAGCAAAAAACUUAAAAAGCAAAGAGGUUUUAAAAGAAUAAGUGGAGAAAGAAAACCUAAUGGACAGCAGCUGAGAAAGCAGCAGUUAAGAGGCAAAUGGGCCAGUUUUUAAAUCUAAGGACCCUGCCAAAAAAACAUGACUGUGACCUGGCUCUUCAAAAAGAAGAGAGUUUGAAAAAUUGAACCUGGAAACAAGUCAAAGACUUUGUUAGAAAUACAAACUUGAAGCUACUUAAACAGUAGGAUUCAAAAAUGAAAUGUAUGAAGUGUUUAGUGUAAAUUGACUUGUUUCUAUAAUGAAAGAAAUUUUAAAAUAUUCAGAACUAGAGACAGAUCAGAAAUGUAGUAUAUGUGCAUUGAUUUACUUGUUAGUUUUCUAGAGAGAGAGACAGAGGAGCUUUUGCUUUUGCUUUAAAAGUAAUUUAUAGUAUCUUUAUAAUGAUUUUGAAUAUUCAUUGUAAUAGUGGUUGUCUUAUGAAGAAAUUUUUAUGACAAGUAAAAUAAAGCUGUAAGCUCCUGUUAGCCUUCAUGAUACACAUAAACCUGAUAAAAGCCUUUUUAUAGUGACAGACUUGGUGUCUCAUGUAAAUCAUGUUGGACUGCCUAGUGACAUGAAUGCUAAAAAAUUGAUGAAAAUAAUGCCAGAUCUUAGCUGUUAUAUACAUGUAUUUAAUGAUCUUUCCAUAUGAAAUAUUUACUACAUAUAUGUACAAAAUCCUUAAGGAUUUAACCAUUUCAUGCUCUGUUUUGCAUGUACAUGAAGUUAAAAUGAAGGUGAAUUUGGAAUGAUAAAGAUCUACAGCAAGAGCGUAGUUGGCUAAGCUAUUGUUAAUUACGGUAAAUGAAUUCAGUCAAUGUUAUCUAUUUUAUAUUAAGAAUGAAUUUGCUAUGCAUAGUGUUCAAUUAGCUCUUGUUGAUAAAAGAAAUGUUAUUAAAUAUUUUGCC
rnacentral:misc_RNA from 1 species